GAUGAACGCUGGCGGCGUGCCUAAUACAUGCAAGUCGAGCGAACAGAUGAGGAGCUUGCUCCUCUGACGUUAGCGGCGGACGGGUGAGUAACACGUGGAUCACCUACCUCUAAGACUGGGAUAACUUCGGGAAACCGGAGCUAAUACCGGAUAAUAUAUUGAACCGCAUGGUUCAAUAGUGAAAGACGGUUUUGCUGUCACUUAUAGAUGGAUCCGCGCCGCAUUAGCUAGUUGGUAAGGUAACGGCUUACCAAGGCAACGAUGCGUAGCCGACCUGAGAGGGUGAUCGGCCACACUGGAACUGAGACACGGUCCAGACUCCUACGGGAGGCAGCAGUAGGGAAUCUUCCGCAAUGGGCGAAAGCCUGACGGAGCAACGCCGCGUGAGUGAUGAAGGUCUUCGGAUCGUAAAACUCUGUUAUUAGGGAAGAACAAAUGUGUAAGUAACUAUGCACGUCUUGACGGUACCUAAUCAGAAAGCCACGGCUAACUACGUG
rnacentral:rRNA from 1 species